UCCGGCCGCUCCGUCCUUGUCCCCGUCGUUGGGAUGUACCAGAACUGCUCGCACUUGGGCCGGGGAAGGUCAGAGAUGGGGAAACAGGUGAAAAUGGGAAGGUGAGCGCUGCCUGACUCCACAGACAGCUCCACUGAGUCUGUUUGUUCCUAGGUUCAAGGCAGAAAGAUGUUCUGAACGUGGAGCUGGCCCUUAGGGCAACGUCCUGUACUGGGCAGUUUGGCCUCCAGACAGAUCUCUGGUGAGCUCGCACUGUCGUUAUGCCCUUGGCUGAUGACACGGAUCUAAAUUCUGUUCUCUUCUUUAACCCCUCUGCGUGAAAGCUGAAAAUGGAGAAACGGUGCAGUGUGGCCAAAAAGUGAGCGAGGUGUGUGAGUGGGGAGCGGUGGGUGGUGAAUUCCUGCGGGAGAGAAGGACGCAUUCCUGCAGCGUCCCGUUAAAGCAGUGAUAACUGUAGCUCUUGCAUGGGCUCUGUGGGGAUGCUCACAGGAUGCAGCUCUGUGAGGCAGUUUUUGUGAUGAAGUGGGACCUGAAUAUGUGACAGCUUUACAUCUCCUUGUUCAGUGAUGGCGCUGAUACUGGGUGAUGGAGUGAGCCAGGGUACAGCACAGCACUGCCCGGGCCUUUGGGAACCAAGGUCCCUGUGAUCCCAAGGUCCCGAGGGACUGAGCUCUGUAAGGACCUUCUGCACCGCGGAAAGGGCGCGUGCCUUCAUCCCAGUGCUUUCUGCCCAUUCACUGCAGUGGUGCCUGAGCAGAAAUCGAAUUGACAGAGGCACUAUCCGGAGACAAAGGCAUUUAAUCCCGGAUGUCUUUCCCUGAGAUAAACAGUAGGGUUUUAUGACAGCUAUUUGAAGGACAGUUCACAUACGAUAACAGUGUUUUGUUCGUCUCUAAUAAGGAAAAUACACUGGAGCCUGAGUUCACAUCAGUGUGUUUGUCAUUAGUAACGGAUCAAUAGUUCUGGGAAAAGGAGAGAAGAACUUGGAAUCUUCCUAAAUAAUCACAUUCUGAGAGGUCUGAUGGAGGUAACACGCUUUUCUGGCUCCAGGGUCAAUGUGAAAUGAAAGGAAAGAGCCAAUAAUUUUAUUUAUACAAAUUAAACUGAAAAACAAAACCAAGAAGCCGUUAGUUUACGUCACGGCAGCCUGACUGGAAGCUCUGGUCUGUUCAGUCUGAAAAUCAGAGCUGGAAAAAGCCAUUUGAAACAAUCUUUCUCACCAAAGUGGGGCAGGAUGAACAGUAGCCCGAUGCGUUGUCGUUCUUACAGGACGUUAAUUGCCUGAGAGCUACAUCCAGGCUCCUGUGCUAACUUACCCGGUAUCUGCCAGCUCAUUUACUUUAACAGGUAGUAGUCAUUGUCACUGGACUGGCAGGUGCUAGCAAAGUUGAUUGAAAGCAGCUGCCCUGUAGUGUUUGAGUGAGUCAUGUAGCAAGGGGUUAGUCAGACUGGAUUUGCAUUUAGAGAAGAAAAUUCACUAGAAUAAGUCUUGAUUUUGUUGCUUUGAUUGGGAUCUGUUUUAUUAGAUGAACCUGAUCUAUGUAAUUAGCAACGAGCUCACCUUUGAUUUAAACCUGCUGAUUCACAAAUUGCGUAUUGGUGAGGUGAGUAACUUGUGUCAACAUGUCUUUGUUCUCAGAAACAUUAGAGAGGAGUCUGCCCUGAACCUGGGGCUUUUGUUCUGUUCAAUGCCGCCUGACUCGUAAAUGUUGGUGUAGUCUUUUUAAAUGAUUCCCGUUGUUUUUAUUAGCGCUCAUUGUCUCCUCUUUUCUUCUCUUUCUCGCUGUGUCAGCCUAGAAUUGCAAAGGGCUGGAAUCCUUUUAGCAUUUUAACACUUCCUUAGCAAACAUCCUGCUGUUCUAUUGUUGCCCUCCUGAAGUGUGGGAGCUCUUUUUUGAGGGAAAAUAUCUCCAAACUCUAGGAACUGAGUUUGCUCUUGUGUUUGGGCACAUCUGCUUUGCUGCAAGCAUCACUGAGUGCAGAUCUUCAGCCUUUUAGCCCUGUUCUCCAGGGCAAAAAUUUUGUGCUCUAGUUCUUCCAGGCUCCUAUUUGUCACCUAUUUUUCAAGGAGCAUAGGAUGUAGCUUCUCUUUCGAGAAGAGCUUUGGUUGCUUACCCUAAGAGCAAAGACCCGUGCAGAAAUCCCCAUUGGGUAACAAAACCUUCUCCAGGGGAAAUGUCCUUGAGCUAGUUUGAACUGAAAGCUCCCAAUUUCACAGUGCCUUUGGUUGGAAAAUGUAAAUGUUCAAAGAGCUGUGACACGAUUAAAGAUUUUCUUGUCACCCUCCGAAGUAAGAAUGCAGUCUCUCCGCUUCCCCUCCUUGUUUGUGUAGAUCAGGUUUAUAGGAGUGACCAAAACCAGCGUAGGAUGCCUGUGUCCCUUCUGGGCAAUGGACCCAAGAAGGUGGUCGUGUUUUUUGCGCCCUUGCUUUUUGUCCCAGUUGCACUUCUGGUUUGGAACCUGGGCUCUGAACUCCUUUCAGAGAGCUCUGUGGGGCCCUGGGCCAUAGCCCCUCGCUCCUUCUCUCUGGCAGAGUUCUGCUCCAGCUCAGCUCACUGCACUACAGGUUUUUGCACCACCUGAAUCUCUCUCUCUUUUUUUUUUUUUUUUUUUGAAGUUCAGUUCUAUGUGGUUUGGUUCCAGUUAUUCAUAAUUAUCGCCUUUUCCAGACACUGCACUGCAGCAUUUCCAAGCUCGCUAUGAAAAAAGUGUAGACUUACUGAGCCUACAGAUACAUCAUGUGGUUGUGCUGCAAACCCCUGACUUCUGCAGCUAAGCAAACACUGGGGAAGAAGGAGCACCGACAUCUUCCUCUCUUGCAGCUGAGAAUCAUAGAACGUACCACAACCAUUUUAACUGAACGGGAUGCCUUCAAGGGAGGCAGUGGUGUUCUGUCACACACAGAAGUGGAGAUACGGCAACGCUGAGGUACUGCUCCCAUCAAGAGGUUCUAAUUGUGGUUGCUGUGUAGAAUGGUCAGCCUUGCUGUCUCAGGGUACCCACUCCUGUCAAUCCCUGCUGCCUUACCUCUUUGUCUUGGUGUGGUGAAAGCAGCGAGGUCUGAGGGCUGGUCCUGCGAGGCAGCGAGCACACAUACAGAGCAGUGACUGCUCGGCCCCUCCUGUGCUUUUUGGUGAGGUAGGAAAGAGUUAAAGACAGCAGAGGGCGAGUGCUGUGCUAUUGUUCAGGCAUUGCUCUGCAUCCAGGGCUGCUGCUCUCUAUUCCCGGAUCUGCCUCUGGCUUCCUGCACGACCUCGGGCUGCUCACCCACCUUUGCUUUGCUUUAGUUCCCGAACGGCAGCAUGGCAAUCAUUCUCUUCCUGUAGUGCCACAUGCCUUGCUGGCUUUAGGGAGGCUGAGGUUCUCUGAUGAGAGGAGAUGGGAGAAAGAGAACACAUUUCCACUGGAGAAGUAAUUGCACAGAGCACAGUAAUUUUUGAACGCGCCCUUGUUCACUCGGGCACAGCAGAGUGCACGGAACUGCUUGUGUUUUUAGCAGGCGAAAGUCAAAUUCCAUUUGUCGCGGAGGCAGAGCAGUGUCAGUUGCAGUGUUCCCUUUUCUCACUAGAUGGUGCUUUUGAUCAAAGAUACGAAUAACCGCAGCUCUGCGCGGAAUUUCCUUACGUUUCUUCCCCCAUCUCCAUUCCUCCCUCUCUUCUUUCCGUGCUGUAACACUAUGGGGGACACUUAACGAUGCUGGAUGUUGGGCAAGGCUCAUCUGGCAGCGCUGCUCGCAGCUCCCACCAGCCGGUUGUGUCUGGGCUCAGUUCUCGCAGCGUGGAUCGGUGCUGCCGGGCCGUGGCAGAGAAUUGAAUUCUUUCCGUGUUUUCUAUUCCCAUAAGGAAAAGGCUUCAAAGAGCAGGUCCCCUCCCCCUCUCUGCUGGUGAAGGGCAUUUAGGGAAGCUGGGGAAAAAAAAUCCGGCUCUGACAGACGCAUUUAUUUAACGAACCACAGCCUUUCCCUACCUUAGCAGAAGAUGGGUUGUUUUUGUUUUUUUAAAUAGAGAAUUGCUGUUUUUAUAUCCAUGUUGUAUUCAGCAGAUAGUUGCCUAGCCAAGGUCAUUGCUGCUGCAUGCCAGCACCGCGCCGUGAGCCAGCACCUGCUCCCUGAAUGAGCACUGCGAGGCUUCCCCAGGUAAAGAAUGGGACCGAAUCUGCCCGUGCCAGGUCCCACCGCCGCUGCUGGGUAGAGCAAGCCACACUCACAGCCCUCCCUUGUAUAAAGGCAGCGGAGGAGGUGAAUGGAAUUGUAACCAAACACUUCCUGCGCAGACAUGCACAGGGCUCUGUUAGGAGCGGUGAGAGGCACAGCGGGGCGUGCGGUGCUGUGUGUCAUCUCGCAGAGAACCACUGUGUGCUGGCCCCUCGGAGCCCCCCCCCGUGGCCUUCUCCUGCAGCAGCUCCGCUGCCUCGGGUCGGUGUGCUCAGCUCUCCCCGCAGCCCACGGUGCCGCUGCCCGGCUGAGCCGCCUGCUGCACACCCGCACCCCGCUCCCAUCGGGUUGCAUCACGCCCAGCUUCCUCCCCGUGGAAUUUUACAACUGUUAAUGAAUGGGGCUGGAACAUUGCUGUGCCGCCGGGCUGCUGCGCGCGGAUUUAUGGUCUGAGGCCAGCGGAGAUUGUGCUCCUGCCUCUGGCACUACACCGAUGACAGCAAUGCCGCGUGUGUGCCAACGAGCCCGCAAGGCCAGCGCCCGCAGCAGCCCUGUGCUCACGUGCUGCGUGUUAUGCUCAUGGCAGUGACGUCCCCGCAGCAGGGACACGAGCUAUGCAAAUUUGCAGUGCGACACAAAACUCCUCUCGGGACUGGGAGCUGACAGCGAUUUCUUUGUCAUUCCCCCGUCGUCGUCUUCCCACUGCACAUACGUUUGUUCAUCCUUAGUAAGAUAUUGCUGAUGACUGAAGCCUGGGUCUGCAUCACAGGCAGUCUGCUUGAAGGAGCAAUCCAGAACGGCGGGGCUCAGGAUCGUGAGAAGCGGGGACAGUGCAUUUCCUCACGUCUAUGGGAUGUGGAGAGCAGUCCCUCCUGGCUGGCAGGGAAUUGCAUCACCUCUUGUACAGAUAGAUAUUUUUCUCUGCAAUGUGCGUGUUGUGUUGUUUGCCUCUGGUGGAAUUUGCCAGCACGACCCAAACUGUGUGGUUCUGAAAUGUAGAACCACAUACCUGUGUGGGGGAGAGAAUGAGCGGUUUGCGCUUCGUUCAAUCUGGCUCUUCCCUCCCUCCUCCCUUCUCCCCACAUCCCCGUGCGUUACAAAGCCAGCUGCUCCCAGAAUAGGUUGGGAAUGAAAUGUCACCGUUUGAAACUGGUGAGUCACACUUUUUGAAGCUGGGGGGGGGAGGGAAUAUGAAAUCCUGCGGUGUGGCAGAGCGUCUCCUGGUGAGCGCAGAGAGAUUUUGCAAACCACAGGCUCCCUGCUGAUGGAGUCGAGGGGCUUUGCAUGCAGCCUGCUGGGUGUGUCCGUGCUGCUUUCUGCAGGAGGAUGGCAAAACCUGCUGCAAACUUCAGUUGUCUGAUGGAACAUACCCGCUGCAGCCGGAUCCCAGCGCCUUCCCGACAGGACUAGGUCGUAUCUGACAGCGCACCUACAGUGACUCUCUUAAUUAAGUCUCCCUGCACCGCUGUGAGUGAGUUACCUCGUGCUGUGGUCUGCAAGGAGCUGAACCAGCAACGCUGCAGGGCUGUAAGCUGCAGCAGGGACGCAGGCGUGAGCCAAGGAACCGGGGAAGAAAAAGAUGCCCCUGCAGAUACCGGGUAUGGCAUCACCAUCACGUUGGAGCUUCCAGCUGCUCCAAUGAGUUGUGAGUGGCAGUGGGUCAUCAGUUCUGAAGCGUGGUGGUAUCGUAGCGCUCAGGGUUCUCGUCUUAGCCUGUUUUUUCUCUAGCAUGAGUUUGCCUCCCCAGAUCCUGAAUGAGGAAUCCCUUUAGCUUACAGUUUCUGGCAGAUAGCUCCCAAGACAAUGUUGGGCGCGAUCAGUACGAGUGUACCCUAUUGAAAAGCAGCUUAGUUCCUAGAAUGAAGUUAGCAUCGCUUCAAACCGAGUAACAAAAGAUGAAUUUAUGGAGCGUGCAGCUCGAAUACCGAAUUCAGUAAGCAUUUGAAGUUUCAAAGAUUCAUGAUGCUUUCUUUAAAACUAAAUGGGUUUUUGCCCAACUCAAAGGAUUUUGUUGGACCGCUUGUUGUGGGAUUUCCCAGGUUGCCUGAGGCCACACGUGCUCAGCUCCGAGGCAAAGCUCGUGCCUAACGAUGGAAGUCUACCUAACGUGAACAAGCAUUUCAGCUCAUUCAGACGAGCCAGUAUUACUACUGAUUUGGUUUGGGGAAAAAAAUAAAUAAAUGGGGGGUGAGGGGGAGGGUGGCGACCAAAAUGACGUGGUUGGACAUUCAUUAGCAAAGCAUUGUCAGAAAACAAUAGAAGAACAGACAAAAGUCAGCCCAGAUUCUGUGGUAUUUCCUAAAGGGCUCCCUCUGGCACAUGGCUGCUCCCUGCCAAUCCUUCCGUAUUGUUUUUGAUAAUGAAUAGAAGCUGAACAGAUGAUUGUUGCAUUGUCCACUAAGUGAUUCAUUUACAUUAAAUACUGCUCCGAAAGGAGGCUUUGGGUAGACUUUUUUAGUCACUCCGGUUAUUUAUUUGUACAAUUUAAUUACCAUCUUUUAAUUCUCCACUGUACAUAAUUAUUUCCUGAUUGCUUCAGCUAAAUUACAUGGGUUGUAACUCCUCAGAAGUCAGUGGUCCAACAAGCCCUGACAUCAGCAGCAGCAUCUCCACAUUUUCAGAGAUGUUUAGGUUUGAACAGUCAUCUGAGCUGCUCCUUUUGGGGGAAGGUGCUGAGGUUUUGCGGCAUCUGUCUGCAGGUGUUGUUUCAUUUUGUUUGGAAAGGUGUGGACAGAUGUGAGAAGUUUGAGGGCUUAUUGUCACUACUGCAGUUAGGAGGGCUUCACUGCAAGAAGGCAUUUAGUCCCAAAUCCACAUCCACAACUGCAGGUACUUUGAUUCACUGUGUACUGAUGGGUAGGGGAGAAUGACACAUCCUGAAGGGAUUUUUGAUGCCAAAGAAUGUAAAGAAAUCAACACUCCAGGCUUUUCUAGCUCCUGGUGUCUGAGAAGUUGGAUGACUUUGCAUUUGUUGAAUAGCUGUAGUUACAUCUCAAAAGCCCUGAUUUCCUAUGCAAUCUCUCUUCUGUUCUGUUCCCCCUUCCCUGUACCACACAGAGAGGUUCAGCACGGGCUUUUGGUUCUGUGUGAAACAGGUCUUAAAGUCUGAAGCAGGGCAGCAAAAUAGUUAAGCAGAAGGGGAAAGGACCAGUCCUAAUAGUGCUGAGUUGUUCAUGUAAUAGGGCCUAGGUUUAAAUCCCCCAGGACAAAGCAAAGCAGCUCUUUCUGAUGUUUUCUGAGCCCCUUCUCCAUCCAGUUACGAAAAAGUAAAUCACCACUCCUGUGCCGAGGUAUAAAAUAAACAAGGUUUUGUUCUGAAGAGUUUAUGUGUCUCUACCUGCCAAGGUGAGACAUGAAAGAGGCUGACUCUUUGCCGUCAGUUUCCCAUGAACACCUAAGUCAAAAGAGCAUGGAGGACAAGAGUGUUCCAAUAUCCCUGUAGCCUUCCAGCUGUGAAAGGCAUUGCACUAAAGCUCUUUGCCAUUCUCUGCUGCUGGAGCUGCUGAACCUGAGCAGAAGUUCCAAAUGGCUUCCAAAGGUUUUGGCUUCUUAGUGUGUUGUGUUUCUGUUACCCUGCUUCAGGAACUGUCUUGGAUUGGUCUGUGUCUAAAGCAGACUAUCCACCCAUUAUCAUCUCCCUGCACUUGGUCUUCUUUUGGGCUAGAUGUAAUCUUUAGAAACUCAGAUAAAACUCGGCAGGCACACAAACAAAGCCAGCCCUCCUUCUGCCAUGAAACCACAACUGCCUGUACUGCCAGUGCUUCCCCCGCUGCCUCCCACUUUAACCCUGCAGCACUGCUCUCCUUGUAUUCUCGCCCUCCCAGGAGCCCACAUUGCUCUGUAUUUAGUGGCAGGCGAUGAAACCAUGCAUUAGCAGCUCCAUAAUAGCUUUGCUCAGUGGAACCCAGCUUCCUUCAUUAAUCCAGAAAAUGAGAGUUGUUUUCGUACAUUUGAGAAGCUAAUUAUUUAAGUGCUGAGAAUUAAGGCUCAUCAGAUAGUGGAGACUGAUUUUGGCUUUGUUUCCCAGGUGAGGAACAAGAUGGAAGGAAGCUGCUUUGACACAGGUGUGCAGCAUGGUAGCUCCCCGGUACUUGGGGUGGAGAGCAGCAGUGUGCAGAUCCCUUUCUAAAGCCUCUCUCUGUACAUCUCCUUUCUUCCAGACAUCAUCUGAUGAUUCUCCUCAUUUGAAUAGGCUUUGAAUAUAUCUUCUGAUCAAAUAAUGCUACAGCUUUAUUUUUACCACCAUAAAAGAGAGGUACCCCAUACCUGAAUAUUU